GACGUAGGGCGCGAGCGUUGUCCGGAUUUAUUGGGCGUAAAGAGCUCGUAGGCGGCUUGUCGCGUCGACUGUGAAAACCCGCGGCUCAACCGCGUGGCUUGCAGUCGAUACGGGCAGGCUAGAAUUCGGUAGGGGAGACUGGAAUUCCUGGUGUAGCGGUGAAAUGCGCAGAUAUCAGGAGGAACACCGGUGGCGAAGGCGGGUCUCUGGGCCGAUAUUGACGCUGAGGAGCGAAAGCGUGGGGAGCGAACAGG
rnacentral:rRNA from 1 species